CAAACUUGCUUUGCAUAUUCUUUUUUCUCUUGCAGCUCACAAGAACAGCAAGAAGAAAAGAGCAAAAUUUAUGUAUCAAGCUGUGGGAGGGAGGAAUCCACACAAUCAUCUUGAAACUGAAGGGCCCCUCAUCACCCACUCUGUUAAGACAUUCCAAAAGACUUGGCCUACCACAGAAAAAGCCUGUGACCUGUCACCAGACAGACAACACCCCAGGAAGAAGCCUAUCCAAAGAAUACAAAAUUGGUUCGUGGAAGUACACCAGGAGAUGUGCUUUGAUAAGAUAUACUAAGAAGGAAUAACAGAACAUUGCAUCAUUAGAAAGAAAAGCUCAAGUAUGGGGAAGAAAAG